rnacentral:rRNA from 1 species
AACGAACGCUGGCGGCAGGCCUAACACAUGCAAGUCGAGCGAGGUAGCAAUACCUAGCGGCGGACGGGUGAGUAACGCGUGGGAACGUGCCCCUUGGUACGGAAUAGCCCCGGGAAACUGGGAGUAAUACCGUAUGAGCUCUACGGAGGAAAGAUUUAUCGCCAAGGGAUCGGCCCGCGUUGGAUUAGGUAGUUGGUGGGUAAUGGCCUACCAAGCCGACGAUCCAUAGCUGGUUUGAGAGGAAGAUCAGCCACACUGGGACUGAGACACGGCCCAGACUCCUACGGGAGGCAGCAGUGGGGAAUCUUAGACAAUGGGCGCAAGCCUGAUCUAGCCAUGCCGCGUGAGCGAUGAAGGCCUUAGGGUUGUAAAGCUCUUUCAGCUGGGAAGAUAAUGACUGUACCAGCAGAAGAAGCCCCGGCUAACUCCGUGCCAGCCGCCGCAGUAAGAC